UUAUUAAUAAUUUAUUAAUUUUUUUUUAUGUUUGUUUUAAUUAAGUAAAAUAAUUUUAAUUUAAGAGGUUUUAGUAUAGUAUAUAGAAAAAAUAUUUUUAAUAAUAGUUGACUAGUAUUGUGAAAUAAAAUUGAAAUAAUAUUUGAAAAUUUUAUAUAAAAAAAGAAAAUUUAAUCUAUUGUACCUUGUGUAUCAGGGUUUAUUAAAUAUAAUCUAUAAAUUUUUAGUAUUCUCGAAUUUAAAAGAGUUAGUAAGUAAAGAAAUUUAAUGUAAAAAAAUUAUUUUUAAUUAUUUACUGGAAAUGAAAAGUUAUUCGUUUUUGAAGUUAUCUAGUUUUUAAAGAAAUAAAUUUAAUUUAUUAAUGAUGAGUAGUUUUUAAUUAUAUAAAUGUGCUAUAAAUUUUUUUGAGUAAUUUACGGGAUAAGCUGUAAGUUAAAUAUUUAAAAUUUAUUAAUUAGUAAAAUAAAUAUAUGCUUAGAAUUAGCAAUUAUUUAUGAGGAUGUUAUAAUUUAUUUUUUAUAAAAAUUAUUUAUUAUGGGUUUGAAGAUUUUAUUUAAAUAUUAAUUUUAAUUUUUAAAAUUAAGAAAUUAUGAUAGAAUUAGUAUAAAUUAUUGUAAAUUUAAAAUUUGAAUAAGAUUAGAUUAAGGAACUCGGCAAAUUUAUGAUUAUUCGCCAGUUUAACAAAAACCUGUCUUUUUGAAUUUAAUUUAAAGUCUAACCUGCCCACUGAAUAAUAUUUGAAUGGCCGCAGUAUAUUAACUGUGCAAAGGUAGCAUAAUCACUAGUCUUUUAAUUGAGGGCUUGUAUGAAUGGUUGGACGAGAUAAUAGCUGUCUCAGUUUAAUAAUUAUAACUUUAUGUUUUAGUAAAAAAGCUAAAAUAAUAUUGAAAGACGAGAAGACCCUAUAGAUCUUUAUAAUUAUAUUUAUUAGGUUUAUAAAGAAUAUUUAAAAUUUAAUAAAUGAAUUUAUUUUAUUGGGGUGAUAAUAAGAUUUAAUAAACUCUUAUAUUUUAUAAACAUAGAUUAAUGAUUAGAUGACCCAUUUUUAAUGAUUAAUAAAUUAAGUUACCUUAGGGAUAACAGCGUAAUUUUUUUGAAGAGUUCAUAUCGAUAAAAAAGAUUGCGACCUCGAUGUUGGAUUAAGAGAUAUUACUAGGUGUAGAGGUUUAGUAAAUUAAGUCUGUUCGACUUUUAAAUUCUUACAUGAUCUGAGUUCAAACCGGUGUAAGCCAGGUUGGUUUCUAUCUUCAGUUAAUAUAAAUAUUUUAGUACGAAAGGACCAAAUAUUUAAAAUAUUUUUUUAUAUUUGAAUAUUAAUAAUAUACUAUUUUGGCAGAUUAGUGCAA
rnacentral:rRNA from 1 species